rnacentral:ncRNA from 2 species
GAGGGUAGGCCCCUCGAAGUCUGGUUACAGGACUCGGCUUCAAACCACCACGAGCUGCUUCGAUCAAAAGUCGCGGUAGUGAACGUCGUUGGAAAAGGCACUUGAAAGUGUCAGGU